CGGGAUGUAGCGCAGCCUGGUAGCGCAUUUGCAUGGGGUGCAAGUGGUCGCUGGUUCGAAUCCAGUCAUCCCGACCA
rnacentral:tRNA from 5 species